UACGGAGGGUGCAAGCGUUAUCCGGAUUUACUGGGGUUAAAGGGUGCGUAGGUGGAUAAUUAAGUCAGUGGUGAAAUCUUCAGGCUUAACCUGGAAACUGCCAUUGAUACUAUUUGUCUUGAAUACUUUGGAGGUAAGCGGAAUAUGUCAUGUAGCGGUGAAAUGCUUAGAUAUGACAUAGAACACCAAUUGCGAAGGCAGCUUACUACACAGUAAUUGACACUGAGGCACGAAAGCGUGGGGAUCAAACAGG
rnacentral:rRNA from 1 species